UACGUAGGGUGCAAGCGUUGUCCGGAAUUAUUGGGCGUAAAGAGCUCGUAGGCGGUCUGUCGCGUCUGCUGUGAAAACUCGGGGCUCAACCCCGGGCCUGCAGUCGAUACGGGCAGACUAGAGUGUGGUAGGGGAGACUGGAAUUCCUGGUGUAGCGGUGAAAUGCGCAGAUAUCAGGAGGAACACCAAUGGCGAAGGCAGAUCUCUGGGCCGUAACUGACGCUGAGGAGCGAAAGCAUGGGGAGCGAACAGG
rnacentral:rRNA from 1 species